rnacentral:lncRNA from 1 species
GAGUGGGGAGAAGGAUACAGGGCUUGGGGCUCCUUCUGUGGGAGUCUCUGUCGCCGCCUCUCCUCCCCUUCCUUAGAAGUGGCAAAGUGCCCUGCUUCCUUCCUCCGGGCCUCCAGAGGAGGUCGAAGGCAGGGGAGCGGGGCGAGGGGAAGAGGAGCGCUAGCCCUAUGGAUUUGGAUCUGAAACUCUGUCGGGACUGCAGCAGGAGAGAGGCUACUGCGGCGCCGCGGGCGCUUGCAGCGUCUUCUGCUGGCAGGUGGCGAAGGACCUUCGUCCUUUUGCUGCGAUUGGAGGCUACAAGUUGAAGAGUCAAAUUUAUCUGAGGUGAGAAGUCUGGGAAGGAGCUAGAGGAGGUGAAGCUGCAGAACACCAGCAAGCAGAUUGUCCAGAAUGCCAUCCUGCAAGCCAUGCGGCAAGUCUCCCAGGAGAGCCUGCGGAGGGAAGGCAGACCCGGUGACAGCAGGGCCUGGGGCCAGCUGGGAGGGUGCGAGCUGACCAAGAAACAUGAAAAGAAGUAACGGGUGCUGCUGGCUCUGGCUCUUGUCCCAUGCUUGGUCUCUGCCUUUCCUGUUAGCAUAGGACGUGUCGCCAAAAUGUUGCCAAUAAGCGAAGCAGCGUCAUGGAUGCCUGUCAGUAGAAUGAGUUCACGCUAGCCUUUACGACAAGCUGUGGUUUGCAAAGCUGCGUUAGGGGCUCUUCAUGUCUUUGUAAUACCUCUGGAAGCAGUUGAGCCAGACAUGGCACUCACACCGCGAAAGUCAUUUUAUAACAAACCUAUUUUCCAAGUUCUUUAAAAGAAAAAAAAUUCUACAUCUUGUUUAUUUAUACAUUCUUUUUAUGUAUAAUUCAACCAGCAGCCUUUAUUCCCCUUCAGAGCUACUGAGUGCAGUCCUGUGUUCUUCAUAACUAUUAAAAGACACACUAGAGAGAUGACGGGAUAGGGAUUUAGCCCUGUUCAAAUACAGGCUCACAGGCUGUUACAAUGGUAUAAGUAUAGGUUCAAGGUCAAAUUGAACAGGCAUGUUCUGAGCCCAGCCCUGCACUACAGCCUAUGUUUAUAACACUCCAAGAAAAAGAGAGGGAGACGCGUUUAUGCUGUGUGAGAACUCAGCCCUUUUAAUCUCUGUUCUCUGAAUUGUUUGCGGUUGGUGUUUACCUUCAGUGCGGAGAUCUGGUGUUCUUAGCUGUGGGUUAAAUGAGAUGACUGAGUCUGUAUGCAGAACUGCUGACGAUGCAGUUCUUUGGCAGCCAUCUUGGACAGCCAUACUCUGUGCAUAUACUCUGAGUCCCCACGCUGCUCCUCACCCUGCAUUGACCUACCCCUAUGGGUGGAGAGGGCAGCAUCCUUGGCAGGGAGUCUGGACCCUAUGAUCACUGCUCCAUCACCCAGCCCUGCAUUUCCACUGGGCCCCCUACUGACAGGGAUUCUCCUUCUUCCACAAAAGAAAUCAGCAUGACCACUACAAAAACCAUAAGGUCACGGCUCAGGAAACUGUUUUAUUUUUAAUUCUCUGAGGCGCGUAAACAGAACGAGAAGAGUGAAGUGGCUGCAGGCUGAAGGGGUUUGGAGAGAUGUGUGCGCAUGUGUAUCAACGUAGCCAUCUCCAUGCAACCCCAUAACUUCUUGCUGCUCCUGUGUGGACAAUAGAUGUCUCUCUGAAGACAUCCUUUAGAGUCUGUUUACCGUGCUUUGCAGAGGCCACUGGGCUGGUGCUCCUUGGGAUAGCAGAAGAAUUUAGCCUUGGUUAGAAACCUCUGGUCUACAGAGUGUCAGUGUCUACACUGACACGUGUUCUAAAUGCCAAGUAUUGCUAGCACACAAAAUGUGGCUGGUGUUCAGACACCUCCAGAAUUCCAAUAUUCUAUGCUAUGUGUGACCAGGGAUAAUACAGAUAACAUUAGAUGGGUAAAACUAUUUAUUUUUGCUAUAUUAGACUAUAUUUGGUGGUGCAUAGGUGGAACAAAUUAAUUUAGAGAGAAAGAAUCCAUGGGAGGCAGAAGGUUUGCAAUCUCAGAUAUUGUUUAUUCAUUGAUGUUUUAAAAGCAGAGCUCAUGGCAAUUAAACAAUGAACCUAAGAUCAUAUGGUGACACAGUAGUGUAGCCAGGGCGGCAAGUCGGGAUAAGGGCACUUGGAGAAAUUAUCCAGAUGUGCCCAAAAUGAGAAGCAAACCCAGUGCUUGUAGUUUGCAGGUGACCUGCCACUGUGUCUCUGCUGAGACAUCUGUCUAUAACCCACCUUGUUUCUCUGUCAAAUGUCAGAAACAUAAAUAUGUUAUCUUUCUUCUCUGGUGUGUAUGUACUACUACGCUACGGGUCUGGGAAAUAUUAUUAAAUUCUGUAUCUAAAUACUAUUUAUAAAUAAACUAUAUCCAGCUUUGAGAUACGUAUCCAGUAUCCAUAU